rnacentral:tRNA from 1 species
GGGGUUAGAGUUUUUUAGGUAAAAUAAUAGAUUGUCAUUCUAUAGAAAUAGGUUCGAUCCCUGUUAACCUCA